rnacentral:rRNA from 1 species
UACGUAGGGGGCGAGCGUUGUCCGGAAUCAUUGGGCGUAAAGAGCGUGUAGGACGGCUUGGCAAGUCUGACGUGAAAGCCCGCGGCUCAACCGCGGAUUGUCGUUGGAAACUGCCUCGCUAGAGUCCGGAAGAGGAGAGCGGAAUUCCUGGUGUAGCGGUGGAAUGCGCAGAUAUCAGGAAGAACACCCGUGGCGAAGGCGGCUCUCUGGGACGGUACUGACGGCUGAGACGCGAAAGCGUGGGGAGCGAACAGGAUAGAAACCCUGGGAAGU